UUCUGAAGAUUAGAGGGGUUCUUUCAUGGGAAGCUCUAGAGCAGUGCUUGAGACAUGACUCCAUCCCAGACACAGCAUACCAGAGUCUCCAAAGGGCUAAGCUCAGCAAUCUAUUCUCAAGCUCCCAACAGGAGUCAUAUAGUCAGGCAGGCAAUGAUCAUAUAUGGGGACCAUUAGAAAUAAUCUAAUGCAUACCCUCUGAACUUCAAAUUUUUAGUAUUCUCAUUUUCUGCUCAAGCUCAAUUUCAACACAGUUCACAGUUUCUCAUAUCCACCAUGGCAUUCUGCCAAGGAACUACAACUCGUGUUCUCUAAACCCAUCUGUUCUAAGAAUGCUGGGCUGGUUAUCAAUUUCUAAUGUACCUGCUUAAACUUUCCUCUCUCAAUAUGUCCCUGACUGAACUGCAGAAGACAGAACAACUGUACUAGCCAUCUCUUUCUGCAUAUCCCAUGUCCCCACAGAGGCCACUGUGUCUUCAUAAAGCUAACUUCCACGAUUUUCACAAGUGAUAUUUUUC
rnacentral:lncRNA from 1 species